AUACCCGCACCACGGAGGUCAGGCCCGGGGAGGCGGCCACGGAAUCGCGGCUGCGCCAAGAUGGCUGCCGGCGUCUAGCUGCCGGGAGGGGCGCUGCUCGGGGCCGGGGUAGGCUGCCCUCCCCUAAGCGGCUCAGUGCGCCCCAGCCAGCGCGGUCAGGGAGCGUCCGCCUCCAGCAGCAACGGAGGCCCCUCCCAGACGACCCGCAGUUACUACUUCGCUUCCCAAGGCCAAGGCCAGGCGCCCGCCCCGCCUCCAUUUAAGUCCGCAGAGGGUCACCCCCGCACCGCCCUACUCUACGCGACACUUACGGCACGGCAUCGCCAUGGCAACCGCCUCUUCUCCCCCCGCCCCCCCACCUUGUUAUUGAACACCUGAGGCACAGGGCGUCCCUGAACUAGUUACAGCACAAGUUAAUGCGGUCCUCCGAGGGCUUAGUUUCCUAACUAUUGUUCUUUGCGCCACUGACUGCUUCCUGAAGCCAGAAAAACCUACCGUGUGUUUUCCAACGUUCUCCCCACCACUCCUGAGCCAAGCAUGUCAGUGAAUAAUAAUUCUCCUCCAGGGAAGCGCAGCGGGAUACAGUGAAAGGAACCAACACCCACCCCGAUUUACUGGAACUAACCUUGGAAGCAUUUUAACGUUUGGAGGCUUCAGUUUUAAGAAAUAUAAACCAUUAAAGAUUAAACAGUAUAUUUACUAUAUAUUAAUAAUGAAUUACAAAUUGAAAAGCAGUCAUUGGUUUAAAGUGGAAAUUUAUGAGUAAUGCCAAGAGGACAGACUUCAGUGCCAGAAUUCUCCAAAUGGAAUUCUUCCAAACCGCGCCCUCUGCGGUCCCUGCGCCCAGGUUCCGGGAUAGCAGGGAAUGGCCUGUCACCUCAUUCACACAUGACAACUUGAUCUUUCUGGGAAACUGCUCUCUCCCCACCCUGGUGAGAGUGGUACUGGCUGCUGGGAAGUCGUUUGUGGCAAACCCCCAUCAGUACCCUGAAGGCACCUGAUUUCUGAGGAAGGCUCAAGAACAACCCAGGCCCAGUGAAACUCAUUGUCUCUUUAUGUCAUUGUUCUUGAAGAAUAAGACAUUAUUCUUGCUGGUUUCACUCAGGCCUCUGUUGGGACUGUGAAGUAGUGGAAGGAAACUAACAUUUAUGCAUUAAAGUUGAUACAAAAUGAGUAUUUAAAAUAAAGACACGUUUCUGUUUGAA